AGAGUUUGAUCAUGGCUCAGAUUGAACGCUGGCGGAAUGCUUUACACAUGCAAGUCGAACGGCAGCACGGGGCAACCUGGUGGCGAGUGGCGAACGGGUGAGUAAUACAUCGGAACGUGCCCAAUCGUGGGGGAUAACGUAGCGAAAGUUACGCUAAUACCGCAUACGAUCUACGGAUGAAGGCGGGGAUCGCAAGACCUCGCGCGAAUGGAGCGGCCGAUGUCAGAUUAGGUAGUUGGUGGGGUAAAGGCUCACCAAGCCAAUGAUCUGUAGCUGGUCUGAGAGGACGACCAGCCACACUGGAACUGAGACACGGUCCAGACUCCUACGGGAGGCAGCAGUGGGAAUUUUGGACAAUGGGCGCAAGCCUGAUCCAGCCAUUCCGCGUGCAGGAUGAAGGCCUUCGGGUUGUAAACUGCUUUUGUACGGAACGAAACGGUCUGCCCUAAUACGGCGGGCUAAUGACGGUACCGUAAGAAUAAGCACCGGCUAACUACGUG
rnacentral:rRNA from 1 species